rnacentral:rRNA from 1 species
UACGAAGGGGGCUAGCGUUGUUCGGAUUUACUGGGCGUAAAGCGCACGUAGGCGGAUCGAUCAGUCAGGGGUGAAAUCCCAGAGCUCAACUCUGGAACUGCCUUUGAUACUGUCGAUCUGGAGUAUGGAAGAGGUGAGUGGAAUUCCGAGUGUAGAGGUGAAAUUCGUAGAUAUUCGGAGGAACACCAGUGGCGAAGGCGGCUCACUACACAAAGAUUGACACUGAGGCACGAAAGCGUGGGGAUCAAACAGG